rnacentral:rRNA from 1 species
GGGGAAUAUUGCACAAUGGGGGAAACCCUGAUGCAGCGACGCCGCGUGAGUGAAGAAGUAUUUCGGUAUGUAAAGCUCUAUCAGCAGGGAAGAAAAUGACGGUACCUGACUAAGGAGCCCCGGCUAACUACGUGCCAGCAGCCGCGGUAAUACGUAGGGGGCAAGCGUUAUCCGGAUUUACUGGGUGUAAAGGGAGCGUAGGUGGCAAAUCAAGUCAGAUGUGAAAGCCCGGGGCUCAACUCCGGGAUUGCAUUUGAAACUGGUAUGCUAGAGUGCAGGAGAGGUAAGUGGAAUUCCUAGUGUAGCGGUGAAAUGCGUAGAUAUUAGGAGGAACACCAGUGGCGAAGGCGGCUUACUGGACCGUAACUGACACUGAGGCUCGAAAGCGUGGGGAGCAAAC